rnacentral:lncRNA from 1 species
GUAAAUGCUCUAUAUACUGAAGCCUAUGAUCUUUAGUGUUGAUUUAAAAUUUAUAAACACUUUCUAUAUUUGUAUUAAUGUAUAUUAAACUCUCUUUCAAGGUACAAGUGCUUCGUUUUAAUUUUGUUUCAAUUAAUUUAGUAAACGUUCAUAAUACUCCUUAAAUUGGUUGACUAACCACUAUAAAAUCGUUAUUCUCUUGAAAAACGGAGACAAAAAAAGUUUCCAAACCUCUUUGACCUUCAUAAUAUGUUACUGAAGGAUGCAACUAUGCAUUAAAAUAGAAUUUUCAUUUUUUUUGAAUUUUUCUCAAAAUCUAUGGGUUAACCCCUACGAAAUAUUUAAUUUUUCGGUAAAUGCUCUAUAUACUGAAGCCUAUGAUCUUUAGUGUUGUUUUAAUAUUUAUAAACACUUACUAUAUUUGUAUUCAUGUAUAUUAAACUCUCUUUCAUGGUACAUGGGCAUCGUUUAAAUUUUUUGUCAAUUAAUUUAGUAAAACUUCAUAAUACUCCCUAAAUUGGUUAACUAACCACUAUAAAAUCGCUAUUUUCUAGAAAAACGGUGACAACAAAGGUUUCAAACCUCUUUGACCUUCAUCAUAUGUUAGUGAGUGAUGCAACUAUGCAUUAAACUAGAAUUUUCAUUUUUUUGAAUUUUUCUCAAAAUCUAUGGGUUAACCCCUACGAAAUAUUUAAUUUUUCGGUAAAUGCUCUAUACACUGAAGCGUAUGAUCUUUACUGUUGUUUUAAUAUUUCUAAACACUUUCUAUAUUUGUAUUAAUGUAUAUUAAACUCUCUUUCAUGGUACAUGGCAUCGUUUAAUUUUUUGUCAAUUAAUUUAGUAAAACUUCAUAAUACUCCUAAAUUGGUUGACUAACCACUAUAAAAUCGCUAUUUCUAGAAAAACGGACAACAAAGGUUCCAAACCUCUUUGACCUUCAUCAUAUGUUAGUGAAGGAUGCAACUAUGCAUUAAAAUAGAAUUUUCAUUUUUUUGAAUUUUUCUCAAAAUCUAUGGGUUAACCCCUACGAAAUAUUUAAUUUUUCGGUAAAUGCUCUAUAUACUGAAGCCUAUGAUCUUUAGUGUUGUUUAAAAUUUUAUAAACACAUUCUAUAUUUGUAUUAAUGUAUAUUAAACUCUCUUUCAUGGUACAUGGGCAUCGUUUAAAUUUUUUGUCAAUUAAUUUAGUAAAACUUCAUAAUACUCCCUAAAUUGUUUGACUAACCACUAUAAAAUCGCUAUUCUCUAGAAAAACGGAGACAAAAAGGUUCCAAACCUCUUUGACCUUCAUCAUAUGUUAGUGAAGGAUGCAACUAUGCAUUAAAAUAGAAUUUUCAUUUUUUUUGAAUUUUUCUCAAAAUCUAUGGGUUAACCCCUACGAAAUAUUUAAUUUUUCGGUAAAUGCUCUAUACCUGAAGCCUAUGAUCUUUAGUGUUGUUUUUAAAUUUCUAAACACAUUCUAUAUUUGUAUUAAUGUAUAUUAAACUCUCUUUCAUGGUACAUGGCAUCGUUUAAAUUUUUUGUCAAUUAAUUUAGUAAAACUUCAUAAUACUCCCUAAAUUGGUUGACUAACCACUAUAAAAUCGCUAUUUCUAGAAAAACGGAGACAACAAAGGUUCCAAACCUCUUUGACCUUCAUCAUAUGUUAGUGAGGAUGCAACUAUGCAUUAAAAUAGAAUUUUCAUUUUUUUGAAUUUUUCUCAAAAUCUAUGGGUUAACCCCUACAAAUAUUUAAUUUUUCGGUAAAUGCUUAUAUACUGAAGCCUAUGAUCUUUAGCUGUUGUUUUAAAAUUUAUAAACACAUUCUUAUUUGUAUUAAUGUAUAUUAAACUCUCUUUCAUGGUACAUGGGCAUCGUUUAAAUUUUUUGUCAAUUAAUUUAGUAAAACUUCAUAAUACUCCCUAAAUUGGUUGACUAACCACUAUAAAAUCGCUAUUUCUAGAAAACGGAGACAACAAAGGUUCCAAACCUCUUUGACCUUCAUCAUAUGUUAGUGAGGGAUGCAACUAUGCAUUAAAAUAGAAUUUUCAUUUUUUAUUUUUUUCUCAAAUCUAUGGGUUAACCCCUACGAAAUAUUUAAUUUUUCGGUAAAUGCUCUAUAUACUGAAGCUAUGAUCUUUACUGUUGUUUUAAUUUCUAAACACUUUCUAUAUUUGUAUUAAUGUAUAUUAAACUCUCUUUCAUGGUACAUGCAUCGUUUAAAUUUUUUGUCAAUUAAUUUAGUAAAACUUCAUAAUACUCCCUAAAUUGGUUGACUAACCACUAUAAAAUCGCUAUUUCUCUAGAAAAACGGAGACAACAAAGGUUCCAAACCUCUUUGACCUUCAUCAUAUGUUAGUGAGGGAUGCAACUAUGCAUUAAAAUAGAAUUUUCAUUUUUUUGAAUUUUUCUCAAAUCUAUGGGUUACCCCUACGAAAAUAUUUAAUUUUUCGGUAAAUGCUCUAUAUACUGAAGCCUAUGAUCUUUCUGUUGUUUUAAAAUUUCUAAACACUUUCUAUAUUUGUAUUAAUGUAUAUUAAACUCUCUUUCAAGGUACAAGUGCUUCGUUUUAAUUUUGUUUCAAUUAAUUUAGUAAACGUUCAUAAUACUCCUUAAAUUGGUUGACUAACCACUAUAAAAUCGUUAUUCUCUUGAAAAACGGAGACAAAAAAAGUUUCCAA